ACUGCUCAGUAACACGUGGCUAACCUGCCCUUAGGACAAGUAUAACCCCGGGAAACUGGGGAUAAUCCUUGAUAGGUGAGGAAUUCUGGAAUGAGUCUUUGCCUAAAGGAUGUGCAGAUCACGCUUCUGCGCGUUGCCUAAGGAUGGGGCCGCGGCCGAUCAGGUUGUUGGUGAGGUAACGGCUCACCAAGCCUAUAACCGGUACGGGCCGUGAAAGCGGAAGCCCGGAGAUGGGCACUGAGACAAGGGCCCAGGCCCUACGGGGCGCAGCAGUCGCGAAAACUCCGCAAUACGCGAAAGCGUGACGGGGCUAUCCCGAGUGCUAUUCGAUGAGAGUAGCUUUUCCUCAGUGUAAAGUGCUGGGGGAAUAAGGAGGGGGCAAGACUGGUGUCAGCCGCCGCGGUAAUACCAGCUCUCCGAGUGAUAGGGACGUUUAUUGGGCCUAAAGCAUCCGUAGCUUGCUGAGUCUGUCCUCCGUUAAAUCCAACGACUUAAUCGUUGGGCUGCGGGGGAUACUGCUUAGCUAGGAGGCGGGAGAGGCCGACGGUAUUUCCGGGGUAGGGGUGAAAUCCUAUAAUCCCGGGACGACCACCAGUGGCGAAGGCUGUCGGCUGGAACGCGCUCGACGGUGAGGGAUGAAAGCUGGGGGAGCAAACCGGAUUAGAUACCCGGGUAGUCCCAGCUGUAAACGAUGCAUGCUAGGUGUUGGUGUGGCUACGAGCCGCUCCAGUGCCGCAGGGAAGCCGUUAAGCCUGCCGCCUGGGAAGUACGGCCGCAAGGCUGAAACUUAAAGGAAUUGGCGGGGGAGCAC
rnacentral:rRNA from 1 species